rnacentral:rRNA from 1 species
CGGAGGGGCGUAGCGUUGUUCGGAAUUACUUGGGGCGUAAAGACGCACGUAGGCGGCUAUUUAAGUUCAGAGGUGAAAGACCCGGGACGCUCAACUCCGGAAUUGUCCUUUGAGACUGGGUAGGCUUGAACGUCGGAGAGGUGAGUGGAAUUCCGAGUGUAGAGGUGAAAUUCGUAGAUAUUCGGAAGAACACCAGUGGCGAAGGCGGCUCACUGGACGACUGUUGACGCUGAGGUGCGAAAGCGUGGGGAGCAAACAGGAUU